UAUCAUAUAUCCGAUUUUACUUUCACCUCCAGACUACUGCACUAUUUCGUUGGAAGUAAAGGUACAAUAAGGAUGAAGUUAUUUUUGGGAACCAGAACCUGCUGUACUUAAAUGCCGUGCAGAGCGCAAAAUAUUUCACUAAACCGAGAUGAUGGCAGAACAUUUCAGAGAUUAUUAUCUCUGUGUGUUAAUGAGCAUAUCAAAGUAAAACGGACUGUACGUACGUUCUUAAAUGAAGUUAAAAGAACGUCGGGGCUUUCUUUGCUUUUGCAGAUUUUAACCAACGGUUUAAAGAGAAACUCAGAUUGACUCCACACUUCACUUCAUCAGCGUGGUUCUCCCUGCAGCAGCUGUGAGGGCUUCAAUUUGCUUGAAAGUUUUUUUCUCCCCAUUCUCCCCAAUGAUCAUGUGCCGACUGAAUGGACGCCAAAGGCCAAAGGCACUGAGAUGUGUCUGCUCUGACCCUGGCUCUCACCCUGACUCCAUUCACCAGGCGGCGUGAGCGUGUGAGAAAAGGGGGAGGACGGCGAGGGGAGACAAAGUUAGAGAGAGAUAGAGAGAGGCUGCUUUUGUGACUGCGGAGACAACAGUCUUUGUCCAGCGCCACCAUGGGGGUACAAGGGCCACCAAUGUCAAGCAAACAAAGGCCAGAGGCCUGGAAAAAUGCGGAGCCAGAGGCCGGGGCUCCCUUCGUGAAAAAUGGAGAAAGAUUGCGCCCGAAAGCAGAAGCGACAAGGCUUCCUCGGAAAGUAACCCUGUCAUCUCAUGCAUGAAAUAAAUGUCAUAAUAUCAGUGGAGCAUCAGCCGGUACAAGAGCGCUGUCACCAGAAACAAACUCGCUGACGCCAGCAUUAAACCCACGCCCGCUAGCAGCACCAGCUGAGCUGACUUUGGACUCUCUAUUUCACACAUGGGGGCAGUGAGCGGGGUGUGAAUCAAGU